rnacentral:rRNA from 1 species
GACGAACCGUGCGAACGUUGUUCGGAAUCACUGGGCUUAAAGGGCGCGUAGGCGGGCCGGCCAGUCGGAGGUGAAAGCCCCCAGCUUAACUGGGGAACUGCGUCUGAGACUGAUGAGCUCGAGUGCAGGAGAGGAACGCGGAAUUCCAGGUGUAGCGGUGAAAUGCGUAGAUAUCUGGAGGAACACCGGUGGCGAAGGCGGCGUUCUGGACUGCAACUGACACUGAGGAACGAAAGCCAGGGGAGCAAACAGG